rnacentral:rRNA from 1 species
AUGAAGAGUUUGAUCCUGGCUCAGGAUGAACGCUAGCGGCAGGCUUAAUACAUGCAAGUCGAGGGGCAGCACGGGUAGCAAUACUUGGUGGCGACCGGCGCACGGGUGCGUAACGCGUAUGCAACCUACCUUCAACAGGCGAAUAACUCAGAGAAAUUUGAACUAAUACGCCGUAGAAUAUGAGAGAGGCAUCUUUUUCAUAUUAAAGAAUUUUGGUUGGAGAUGGGCAUGCGUUCGAUUAGUUAGUUGGCGAGGUAACGGCUCACCAAGACGACGAUCGAUAGGGGUUCUGAGAGGAUGAUCCCCCACAUUGGUACUGAGACACGGACCAAACUCCUACGGGAGGCAGCAGUAGGGAAUAUUGGGCAAUGGACGAGAGUCUGACCCAGCCAUGCCGCGUGAAGGAUAAAGGCCUUAUGGGUUGUAAACUUCUUUUAUACUGGGGUAAUACUCGCUACGUGUAGCGGGAUGAAAGUACAGUAAGAAUAAGCAUCGGCUAACUCCGUGCCAGCAGCCGCGGUAAUACGGAGGAUGCAAGCGUUAUCCGGAUUUAUUGGGUUUAAAGGGUGCGUAGGCGGAUUUGUAAGUCAGUGGUGAAAUCUCUCAGCUUAACUGAGGAACUGCCAUUGAAACUGCGAGUCUUGAGUUUAGACGGCGUGGGCGGAAUAUGUCAAGUAGCGGUGAAAUGCGUAGAUAUGACAUAGAACACCGAUAGGGUAGCCAGCUCACGAGGGUAAAACUGACGCUCAAGCACGAAAGCGUGGGGAUCAAACAGGAUUAGAUACCCUGGUAGUCCACGCUGUAAACGAUGAACACUCGUUGUCGGCAAGAAUUUGUCGGUGGCUAAGCGAAAGUGAUAAGUGUUCCACCUGGGGAGUACGUUCGCAAGUAUGAAACUCAAAGGAAUUGACGGGGGCCCGCACAAGCGGAGGAGCAUGUGGUUUAAUUCGAUGAUACGCGAGGAACCUUACCUAGACUUGAACGCAGAGGGAAUAACGUAGAAAUAUGUUAGCCAGCAAUGGUCGUCUGCGAGGUGCUGCAUGGUUGUCGUCAGCUCGUGCCGUGAGGUGUUAGGUUAAGUCCUGCAACGAGCGCAACCCUUACUGUUAGUUACCAGCAUGUAAAGAUGGGGACUCUGACAGAACUGCCCGCGCAAGCGAGGAGGAAGGUGGGGAUGACGUCAAAUCAGCACGGCCCUUACGUCUAGGGCGACACACGUGCUACAAUGGGCGGUACAGAGGGCAGCUACCUGGCGACAGGAUGCUAAUCUCGAAAGCCGUUCUCAGUUCGGAUCGGAGUCUGCAACUCGACUCCGUGAAGUUGGAUUCGCUAGUAAUCGCGCAUCAGCCAUGGCGCGGUGAAUACGUUCCCGGGCCUUGUACACACCGCCCGUCAAGCCAUGGAAGUUUGGGGCGCCUAAAGUACGUUACCGCAAGGAGCGUCCUAGGGCGAAACAAGUAACUGGGGCUAAGUCGUAACAAGGUAGCCGUACCGGAAGGUGUGGCUGGAAUACCUCCUUU